rnacentral:rRNA from 1 species
UACGAGAGGCCCAAACGUUAUUCGGAUUUACUGGGCUUAAAGAGUUCGUAGGCGGUGCGGUAAGUGGGGUGUGAAAGCCCUCGGCUCAACCGAGGAAUUGCGCUCCAAACUACCACACUCGAGGGAGAUAGAGGUGAGCAGAACUGAUGGUGGAGCGGUGAAAUGCGUAGAUAUCAGGAGGAAUACCGAUGGCGAAGGCAGGUCUCUGGGCUGACACUGACGCUCAUGCACGAAAGCGUGGGGAGCAAACAGG